rnacentral:rRNA from 1 species
CCUACGGGAGGCAGCAGUGGGGAAUAUUGCACAAUGGGCGCAAGCCUGAUGCAGCAACGCCGCGUGAGGGACGACGGCCUUCGGGUUGUAAACCUCUUUUAGUAGGGAAGAAGCGAAAGUGACGGUACCUGCAGAAAAAGCACCGGCUAACUACGUGCCAGCAGCCGCGGUAAUACGUAGGGUGCAAGCGUUAUCCGGAAUUAUUGGGCGUAAAGAGCUCGUAGGCGGUUUGUCGCGUCUGCUGUGAAAACUGGAGGCUCAACCUCCAGCCUGCAGUGGGUACGGGCAAACUAGAGUGCGGUAGGGGAGAUUGGAAUUCCUGGUGUAGCGGUGGAAUGCGCAGAUAUCAGGAGGAACACCGAUGGCGAAGGCAGAUCUCUGGGCCGUAACUGACGCUGAGGAGCGAAAGCAUGGGGAGCGAACAGGAUUAGAUACCCUGGUAGUCCAUGCCGUAAACGUUGGGCGCUAGAUGUGGGGACCAUUCCACGGUUUCCGUGUCGCAGCUAACGCAUUAAGCGCCCCGCCUGGGGGAGGUACGGCCGCGACGGACGUAAACGUUAAACGGUAAAGUUAGACGGCGUGAGACGUAGCCGAACGGACGACGACGAGGGAGGUAGG